AGCAGCCGCGGUAAUUCCAGCUCCAAUAGCGUAUAUUAAAGUUGUUGCAGUUAAAAAGCUCGUAGUUGAAUUUUGGAUUCUUCCAAUUGGUCCAUCCUUUAGAUGAGUACUGGUUGUGUGGGGUCUAUCCGCCUGGUAAUACGUAAUGUCCUUUAUUGGAUGUUGCGGGUAGUCAGGACCUUUACCUUGAAAAAAUUAGAGUGUUUAAAGCAGGCUUAUGCCGGAAUACAUUAGCAUGGAAUAAUAGAAUAGGACGAAGUUGUUUUAUUUUGUUGGUUUCUAGGACAACCGUAAUGAUUAAUAGGGAUAGUUGGGGGCAUUAGUAUUCAAUUGUCAGAGGUGAAAUUCUUGGAUUUAUUGAAGACUAACUACUGCGAAAGCAUUUGCCAAGGAUGUUUUCAUUAAUCAAGAACGAAAGUUAGGGGAUCGAAGACGAUCAGAUACCGUCGUAGUCUUAACCAUAAACUAUGCCGACUAGGGAUCGGGCGAUGUUGUUUCCAUGACUCGCUCGGCACCUUAUGG
rnacentral:rRNA from 1 species